rnacentral:rRNA from 1 species
GCAGUCGAGCGGCAGCGGGUCCUUCGGGAUGCCGGCGAGCGGCGGACGGGUGAGUAAUGCCUAGGAAUCUGCCUGGUAGUGGGGGAUAACUCGGGGAAACUCGAGCUAAUACCGCAUACGUCCUACGGGAGAAAGUGGGGGAUCUUCGGACCUCACGCUAUCAGAUGAGCCUAGGUCGGAUUAGCUAGUUGGUGAGGUAAAGGCUCACCAAGGCGACGAUCCGUAACUGGUCUGAGAGGAUGAUCAGUCACACUGGAACUGAGACACGGUCCAGACUCCUACGGGAGGCAGCAGUGGGGAAUAUUGGACAAUGGGCGAAAGCCUGAUCCAGCCAUGCCGCGUGUGUGAAGAAGGUCUUCGGAUUGUAAAGCACUUUAAGUUGGGAGGAAGGGCAGUAAGUUAAUACCUUGCUGUUUUGACGUUACCAACAGAAUAAGCACCGGCUAACUUCGUGCCAGCAGCCGCGGUAAUACGAAGGGUGCAAGCGUUAAUCGGAAUUACUGGGCGUAAAGCGCGCGUAGGUGGUUCAGCAAGUUGGAGGUGAAAUCCCCGGGCUCAACCUGGGAACUGCCUCCAAAACUACUGGGCUAGAGUAUGGUAGAGGGUGGUGGAAUUUCCUGUGUAGCGGUGAAAUGCGUAGAUAUAGGAAGGAACACCAGUGGCGAAGGCGACCACCUGGACUAAUACUGACACUGAGGUGCGAAGCGUGGGGAGCAAACAGGAUUAGAUACCCUGGUAGUCCACGCCGUACACGAUGUCGACUAGCCGUUGGGAUCCUUGAGAUCUUAGUGGCGCAGCUAACGCGAUAAGUCGACCGCCUGGGGGAGUACGGCCGCAAAGGUUAAAACUCAAUGAAUUGACGGGGGGCCCGCACAAGCGGUGGGAGCAUGUGGUUUAAUUCGAAGCAACGCGAAAGAACCCUUACCUGGGCCUUGACAUGCUGAGAACUUUUCCAGGAGGAUGGGAUUGGGUGCCCUUC